UUUUGAGACUUGUGCAAUGGGUUUUUUGAAUAAUGCUUCAGGGUGGGAACACAGCAGAGCCUUCAAAAUAUUUAUGUGCCGCAAGUAUCUUAAGAAGG
rfam:Helicobacter canadensis MIT 98-5491 chromosome, whole genome shotgun sequence.